ensembl:snoRNA SNORA70 Small nucleolar RNA SNORA70
CUGCAGCCAAUUAAGCCAACCAGGUUCCUUUCCUCAUGAUGGCCAGGUGUGCAAUGGCUGCAAACAGCAGCCUCCUCAGUAGUAUUCAUAACCUGUUGCCUGUACAGGUUGCCCUAUAUUGCUGACCUCU